rnacentral:rRNA from 1 species
UUAACGCUAGCGGUAGGCAUAACACAUGCAAGUCGAGCGAGGCCUUCGGGUCGAGCGGCGAACGGCUGAGUAACACGUUGGUACCUGCCCCAAAGUGAGGGAUAACUGCGAGAAAUCGUAGCUAAUACCGCAUAUGACAGCAAUGUCAAAGCUUCGGCGCUUUGGGAGGGACCUGCGGCGUAUCAGGUAGUUGGUGAGGUAACGGCUCACCAAGCCAAUGACGCGUAGCUGGUUUGAGAGGAUGAUC